GUACCUCACGGAAGCCGGCUUUGGCCCUGCGGCUGCUACCGUCGCCGCGGAGAAAUUGUUGGAUCUGGCAGUCUAGGAAUGAAUCUCCUCUCAGCCUUUAAGCUCACCUGGUCAGAAUCCUUGGAUGAGCCUGUGGGACCGUUCCUCCUAGCCCUGUGGUUUGGAACCAGUGGCUUUGGGACUGUAAGAGGAUGGACAAAGGUAGUAUGAGGCCGGGACAGCUCCCCAAAUGCUCGGGCGCCAAGCAUCUGCUGAUUCCACUCUGUGCCUGGCACUUGUGUCUUUCGGUCCUGGCUAGGCCUUGCCACCUCCCCCUGGGCCAGCACCACCCAUGUACCUGUCGGCAGAGCCACAGUUGACUGACUUGCUGUUGAGCUGCUGCUCUUUAGCACGGCUGCAUUUUGAUGGCAGAGGGAGCAGUUAUGCCCAGAGCCCAGCGUGUCGGCAUCACCAGUCUGACCUGAGCACCAUGUGCUGCACGACAUGACACGUGGCACCGGGGGAACUGCCCAGCGUGGAAGGUCUGGGCCAGGUCUGAGCCCAGAUGGGAUCUGGAUGGCCAAGGAACUCUACCUUAAAACCUCAAGUGUCAAGGAGGCAGGGGAGGGGCCAAGAGGGCUGGCAGGGGAAGGGGGCUGGGGAGGGGUCCCAUUUGCAGAGGCUCUAGGAUCUUAGGAGGCCCGAAUCCACCAUUUCUCUCUUGCUAGAUUCUCAGGGGCUGCUAGAUUCAUCCCUGAUGGCAUCAGGCACUGCCAGCCGCUCAGAGGAUGAGGAGUCACUGGCAGGGCAGAAGCGAGCCUCCUCCCAGGCCUUGGGCACCAUCCCUAAACGGAGAAGCUCCUCCAGGUUCAUCAAGAGGAAGAAGUUCGAUGAUGAGCUGGUGGAGAGCAGCCUGGCAAAAUCUUCUACCCGGGCAAAGGGGGCCAGUGGGGUGGAACCAGGGCGCUGUUCGGGGAGUGAACCCUCCUCCAGUGAGAAGAAGAA
rnacentral:sRNA from 1 species